UACGUAGGGGGCGAGCGUUGUCCGGAUUCAUUGGGCGUAAAGAGCUCGUAGGCGGCUUGGCAAGUCGGGUGUGAAAACUUCAGGCUCAACCUGGAGCGGCCACUCGAUACUGCCAUGGCUUGAGUCCGGUAGGGGACCACGGAAUUCCUGGUGUAGCGGCGAAAUGCGCAGAUAUCAGGAGGAACACCGGUGGCGAAGGCGGUGGUCUGGGCCGGAACUGACGCUGAGGAGCGAAAGCGUGGGGAGCGAACAGG
rnacentral:rRNA from 1 species